GCCUACGUAGCUCAGUUGGUAGAGCACGUCCUUGGUAAGGACGAGGUCGACGGUUCAAUCCCGUUCGUAGGCU
rnacentral:tRNA from 1 species